rnacentral:lncRNA from 1 species
GUUCUUCAAAGAGAGAAAAUAAUCCUUGAGGAAAAGCUGAAAAGAGCUUUACAGGAAGCUGAAAAUGCUAAUAAGCAACUUACAAACUUAGCAACAUCUGUCCCUGUUCAAGACACAGAAAUUGUUCAAGAUGCACCCACCAGUUACAAAAAUGCAGAAAAGGAUAAAAAUAAUGAUUCUGACAUUGAUAUGAAAAAAUAUGCUAAAGAUGCAUCUAAGAAGGGCCAAAAAUCAACUAAAACUGAAGGCAGCAGGGAAGAUCAUAUAGUGUCACCAUCCAAGUCCAUUAGUGAAGCUGAUGAAUUAGUACACAAAUUGCUAGCAAAGAACCAAGUGAAACAAGGAAUAAGGAAAAGUCCCGGAGAAAUGGAGGAAACUGAAGAAAUUGCAACACUGUCUCAAAAGAAGGAUGUUAAACUAGGAAAAAAAGGAUUAACAGAGGGAAAGAAGUCUGAAGAUCAUGGUGUUUCAGCAAGCAAGCUAAAAGAAAAAUACCUUUUUCAGGAGCAAGGAGAGUCAUAUAAACCUAAAGAAUUACUUUCUAGCAUGGAAGAGACUCCAAGACUUCCUGCUUAUCCAUCUGGACAGGAAAACAUGCAGUAUUCUUCUAAACAUGCUGAUGAGAAGCCAACAUCACUGUUAUCUGAUAAAACCCAGCAAAUGUCAACAGCAACCAGAGCAAACAGAAAAUCAGAGUCUCCUUUGAAAUUUGACCCCAAAGGACUGGUUACAGCUAAGAAAACGACAGAAGCAAAUGAAGGAGUUUCCCUGGAUAACAGCACAGGGGAGGAUGCAUGUGGCACCACCGAUUCAGAUUUUGUGAACCUUCCAGAAAUCCGAGGAGAGUCAGAGUCACAUUUCUCCUUAAACUGUCAAGAACAAUUAUGGCCCAAACCUUUAAAUGUACACGAAGAUUCACCCCAACUAAUCUCAGAAAGACAGAAGACUGCUAUGUCUGCUAAACCCAGUAUCCGAGGACAAGAUUGUUCUUUACCAUUGUAUGAAAACGAUAUGUUACCAUCAGUUUUACCUUCCAAAUAUCAAGAUGUGGCUCCUCUUAAAAGCUCCCUGACCAAUCAUAAAACAUCUUCUGAAUCUCAGAGUGCUGAAGAAGUUUCUCUUUUCUCUAUUGAAAAGAUACCCACUUCGGAGAUCCAGCAAAAAAUGCCUGCCGUUAUUACUCAAGAAGAUAAAAAGGCGCCUAUGCCAGUUCUUCCUGUCACACACACGACAAACGUAACUUUGGAAACUCACUCACCUGAGGGAGAAAAUCUUCCAUGGACUCAAAAAGAAGAAGUAGAUGUUAAAGAAAGACUUCCAUUAAUAACUCAAAUGAAUAAAAUGCAACAAGCAUCAACACUUUCACUGGCAGAAGCUGGUGUGAACACUGGGAAGAAAACAAUUGAGCUUUUGCACAGUAUGCUUGCUAAGCUGUCACCAGGUGUAGAAGAUCUGCAAGACAUAGAAGCUUUUGAAGACAGUGAAAUAGACAGCAUUACUGAGGAUAGAUUAAAUAAGCUACCAAAACUUCUUGGAAGCUUGGAGUCAAAUCUGAAAGACCUGCAGGAAGCACUGGCUCUGACAGAUGACCAAACAAGCAAUGUAAGUGAAAAGCAACUAUAUGACAUCCCACAAACAAGACGACUUCUAUUGUCAAGUUUGGAACCAACUCUGAAAGACCUGCAAAUGGCAGAGGCUAAUAUAAUUAGUCUGCCAGACAGCAUAAAUGAGGACAGACUGAAGGAAUUAAUCAACCAAAAAAAUAUUUUGCUGUCAAGUCUGGAAAAAAAUUCACAAGAUUUGCAACAAGCACAGGCUAUUGUAGUAGACCAAGACGACAAAUACAGAUUUUAUGAGAAAAAAAUGCAGGACCUAACAGAAAAAAGAAAGCUUUUGCUUACCAGCCUGGAAUCGAAUUGGAGAGAUUUGCAACAGACUCAGGCUCUGGAUGCCAGCCAACUUCAUGACAUGAAUGAUAAUUGCUUUGGCAGCAAUUCUGAUUUUUUUGAAAGAAAAUCAGAGGUGACUGGAAAACAGCCUCUAAAUAGUAGAACUUUGCAGCUAGAAUGUAUUCUUUCAGCACUUCCACUUGAUCAAGACAGAAGCUUUGCACCUGCAGAGCCAACUUACAACAGCGAAACCACAUCACCUAUUCAUCAAUUGAUGCCAAGCAGAGUUGUAUCCAGUAUACAUUUUGACUUUUCUACACUUCCAGCCUUAGUACCAGGAGACUUUGAUGCCUCAACUCCUUAUCAGACAGAAUGGGGAGCACUGUUUAUUUCUGGGAAGAGUUACCCUUUGCUGAGCUCAAAGAGUCAAGAAGCAAAAAGGAGGUGAAACAUCUCUGAUGAUAAAAUUCUCUCAUAUUCCUCUUAUUAGAAUAGUUGUGAUGGUAAACUUACAGCAUUAAUAAAAAUACCACUCUGUCACUCUCUUAUAGCCUG